rnacentral:rRNA from 1 species
GCGUAACGCGUGGGAYDBUGCCCUUGGGUUCGGGNNNNNNGUUGGAAACGACUGCUAAUACCGGAUGAUGUCUUCGGACCAAAGAUUUAUCGCCCAGGGAUGAGCCCGCGUCGGAUUAGCUAGUUGGUGAGGUAAAGGCUCACCAAGGCGACGAUCCGUAGCUGGUCUGAGAGGAUGAUCAGCCACACUGGGACUGAGACACGGCCCAGACUCCUACGGGAGGCAGCAGUGGGGAAUAUUGGACAAUGGGCGAAAGCCUGAUCCAGCAAUGCCGCGUGAGUGAUGAAGGCCUUAGG